GUGAGUAGAUUACUGCUGUUCAAACACUGGAAAAUAUGUGCUGUCGAAUAAUUUCACCGUACAGUUGUAAUUUUGGAAAAUCUUUUUUAUGGGAUUUUACAUUUGCAUGCUUUCCAAUAAGAAUGCAACCAACUCCUUUUCAACUCCUCUCCGACUGACACCAUUCAUGUCGACCAGGUAAGGCAAGGCCACAGUUGAAAUCAUACACACAUUUGUUUUCUGAGAGAUGAAUGUGGUAUUUUUGUCCAAAAUCUGCCUGGUUUGUACAUCCUGAACAGUUGUCAUAAUCACCACAAUUCCUGCUGUGGUGCUUUAAAGUGUAAGUGCACCCUAAAGAUGUUUUACUCUAAACUAAAUGAUAUGACCUAUUCAGUUUAAAUGAGAGAUUCAUGUAUCCACUGCAACCUUCACCGUGUGGAAUGGAUGUGUUGGCUGAAACUGGAAAUGAAAGGUGUAGGAGUGAGCCCGCUGCACGGACAGUGAGGAUGUGAGAGAACUAGCGUGUCGGACCAGUAUGUUCAUCAGCAGCACAUAGUAGGAUACAACGCACAAUAAAGAACCAUGGGUGCCAGGUUCUGGUUUAUUUUGGUUAUUGCCAAUGAAGUGGCUGCCUUCACACGUCCACACCAACCUCCACCAUGUGAAGUGGGUAAGUGAUUACUGAGUGACGAUUUUAGAUUUUUGUAACAAAAAACUGAAUAGACUGUUUUUUUAUGUUUUAAAUCUCAUCCACAGUUCUCACAUUAUAUUGUAAUAAGAUGCUUGCGUGUUUUUGAAAAAAUAACAACAGUUUGCAGAGCUUUGCCUUUGAGUGGUAAGAGAGUGGGCUUAGACUCUAUCCCCCGUAUUUGGAAGAACACUUUGAGCCACUGCGCCCAAAUGGAGUUGAUCAAAUGCUAAUGCCUUGGGCUGUGCCCCAAUUGGAAUGCCCUUACCGCCCGUGCGGAGCGUAUGCAUUUGAACAACAAAGUAUUAUAGACUGUACAAUACAUUUGGACUCUAUGCUAGCUGAGUCUGCUCUUCUCUAAAAUGCUAGCCAAAUAAAACAUAAAUGAUGUUCUAUGUGUAUUUUGUACCAAGCAGGAAAUCAUUUUGGUUGUAGCAAUUCAUUCAUGCCAGCAUAAAUAGAUACUGCUUUAAUGCUUAGUCAAGCUCUGCAAUUUUUUGCAAUUUCUCUGUAAUUACCUACAUUAAUCCACUCUGUGGUUUUUAAUUUAAAUCAUACACUAAGGAAGUAGCUCUUUGUUUUGAACAAAUAUUACAUUCACUUUUUUGUAACUAUUUUGAUUUCCUCAAGUCAU
ensembl:lncRNA